AAGUAACUAAUUAGGUAUGGUAGUGUUCCCAAAGGUACCGUUUGGUUCGGAUAUAAGUAAGAACUAGUUGUUUCAGGGAUAGGUACAAGUAUGAGGAUUAGAGUAAUUUUGUGUUUGGAUGAAAAUAAAUAUAAGGAUAGGUAUAAGGAGGGAUAGGAGAAAAAGUGUUUGGAUGGUAUUUGGGGAUAAGAGGAUAGUGGGUUGGUGAAAGUGUAAAAUUAUCAAAUUACCCCUACUGAGAAAAAGAGAAUGGUGAGUGGUUGGAUUGGUAAGUUUUAUUAUUUUAAAUUCAUAUGUAUAUUAAAUAAUGCAAUUAUUUUUACCCAUUAUUUUUUAACCAAUACAAUAAUAAAAAUAUCAAAAUAUAGCGCAACAGGUGUUAAAAAGACAUACUCAAUUUUCGAACAGACGU
rnacentral:lncRNA from 1 species